rnacentral:rRNA from 1 species
GAUAAACGCUGGCGGCAGGCCUAACACAUGCAAGUCGAACGCUGCAGCAAUGCAGAGUGGCAGACGGGUGAGUAACGCGUGGGAACCUUCCCAGUGGUACGGAAUAGCCCAGGGAAACUUGGGGUAAUACCGUAUAAGCCCCUAGGGGGAAAGAUUUAUCGCCAUUGGAUGGGCCCGCGUCGGAUUAGCUAGUUGGUGAGGUAACGGCUCACCAAGGCGACGAUCCGUAGCUGGUCUGAGAGGAUGAUCAGCCACACUGGGACUGAGACACGGCCCAGACUCCUACGGGAGGCAGCAGUGGGGAAUAUUGGACAAUGGGCGCAAGCCUGAUCCAGCCAUGCCGCGUGAGUGACGAAGGCCUUAGGGUUGUAAAGCUCUUUUGGCGGGGACGAUAAUGACGGUACCCGCAGAAUAAGCUCCGGCUAACUUCGUGCCAGCAGCCGCCGUAA